rnacentral:rRNA from 1 species
UACGUAGGGCGCAAGCGUUGUCCGGAAUUAUUGGGCGUAAAGAGCUCGUAGGCGGUCUGUCGCGUCCGUUGUGAAAACUCGAGGCUCAACCUCGGGCUUGCAGUGGAUACGGGCAGACUAGAGUGCGGUAGGGGAGACUGGAAUUCCUGGUGUAGCGGUGGAAUGCGCAGAUAUCAGGAGGAACACCGAUGGCGAAGGCAGAUCUCUGGGCCGUAACUGACGCUGAGGAGCGAAAGCGUGGGGAGCGAACAGG